CAUCAAGCAACCCAUGCUUCAGUGGGUUGUGGAAAGAAUGCACUGGGGGGAAACAUGGGAAUUAUACAAAAGAGAAACAGAACUCACUUUCUGCGGAUGGUGGAGCUGUUGGUGUCAGAGCUGUCUGUGUGGUCCAAUCUGUCCCGCUGCUCCCUCUCAGCUGGGUUCGAGCCACAGGACAUGCCCCGGGUCAGCCUGGUGUGGGCACGUCUCUCCCGGCUCGGCCCUGCAGGGGGCACCACCACAGCAGGGGGUGGGGCGGUGAUGGGGCUGGGGGUGCUGCCACUACCUCCACUACUGCUGCCAGGGUGGAUGGGCAGGGAGAGGGGCUGCUCUGCUCUGUGGUUGGUGUUGCUAUGGUUCUGUUCGGGGAGCUCCGGGGCUCGUGGAGGAGUGGGUUUCUCCAGCCUCAGGUCCUGGUUCUCCUGGCUGACUCGGUCCAGCUGGCCUUCCAGCUCCUCGAUGCGCCGCCGCUGGGUCUCCAUGAGCUUGGCCUGGCUCUCGAUGAUGUUGUUGAGCUCCAGGAGGUACUCCACGGCCCGGUUGGGGCUCUCUGGACUGGUCUCCAUGAUGGGAGGCCUUGCUACAAGGAGGCUCCAGGGUACCACCACCUCCGCCGUUACGACCCUGGAGCUCCAGAUCCCACCCCCCCACCAGCCCUGAUGAGUGGGGGGGGGAGAGGGGAGGGAGGACGGACAGGGGGGCUGGAGGAAAAUUAACUUGUGGAUUGUUUUUUUCCCUUUCUACUUUACGCAAAAAGCCUUUCAGAGAUUCAGAGACGGCAAGGGACACAACGGUGUGUCGACAGUUUCUCGAAUGAUUACAUAUCACAGUAUCUCACAGCAAGAUGGAGUUGGUUGCAAUUGUUCUACGUCCACAAAAGAUGGCUUCACAAAGAAAAGAGUGCAAAGGUGAAAAACAAGUAAGGGGUACAACUGAGUGUGGUUAGCUGAAGGCUUAGUGUCUUUAAAUUCAGCAUCAUGAAGGAUGACGGAAGAUAGAAAUCCAGGACCUUGGGCAUCAGGUGUCAUUCCAAAUGAUCAACCAAAAUCAAACAAUAAAAAAGAGAGAUGGAUCAAGGCAGAGAAAAAAGAGACAGAGAGGUAUAGUUGAAAUCUGAAACAAUAAAUGCACAUUAGCCAUCUUGGUAAUUCAAUAUUCCUCUCUCCUAUGGAGAGGCAGACAGAGGGGGUUACUGUGUAAUACAAGAUCAGUGAAAUAACAAUAAUACACACCAGUGACUCUUGUCAUAGACCCCAGUGUUCUCCUUGUCAACUUCAGUCAAGAUGUGUUAUCGUUUCAACAGCCAAUUUGUCUGAAAACAGGUUGAUUCUCUCCAAAAUGAUCAAUGAUCACAAAAAGUUUUCUGUCUUCCCAGAUGAAAAGGGGAGGGGGAAAGGGGUCAGGGAAAUUGGCUUGUUAUGUUCUCCCACUAAUAAGCAGUUUUGUCAAAGAUUAUAUAAUAGAAAACAUUCCAUGUUCCCUCCCACAGACUAUCCCUGCAGUCCCUACCUCAUCCUCUUCACCCCAUAACUAGAUGUGUCUUUGGAAAAGACAAAAUUAAGACGUUAGAAGACUGAUUCAUGUCAUAGCUAGAGCUCCAAGUAUUCACCCCUGCCCUGUACAGACCACAUCCAAAAGCCAGAGGAUGGUUUAGGCUAUAGAUUUUGCCCGAGUGUCCCUCGUAGAUCACCGCAACGUGUAGCUUCACCUCACGCGUCCAUGACGAAGAGUUGCCUACUCGAACUCGAGUCUUUAAAAAUCUUUAGACAGUUAAAUUUCUUUCCGAAAUUUGUUAGCUGAAAAAUGAUAUAACUGUAAAAUACUCCACAUGUCUUCAAUACACAUACUUGAUCUGUAUAAGGAGUUUUCACUUGCCUGUGUCCUGUUCCCGACGUUUCAGGGAAAACCAAUAAAACAGUCCGCUGCGCACUUUCUAAAAUCCCAUGUGAUUAAAAUAAAUAAAGUGCAUUUAUCAAACGAUUGUCAAUGUUUUACCCAUCUGUAAUCCACUAUGGUAAGAGUCGCAGUAACGUCACACCAGUGGUGGUACAGAUAUACGAAGAGAUGGACUCCUGGCAAAUCUGUGAACUGUAGGCUAUGAGCGCGCGUGGGGCUCAGGAGCGCUCUUGU
rnacentral:lncRNA from 1 species